rnacentral:rRNA from 1 species
GACAGAGGGUGCAAACGUUGUUCGGAAUUACUGGGCGUAAAGCGCGUGUAGGCUGCUCUGCAAGUCGGGUGUGAAAGCCCCGGGCUCAACCUGGGAAGUGCACUCGAAACUGCAGAGCUUGAGUCCUGGAGAGGAAGGCGGAAUUCUCGGUGCAGAGGUGAAAUUCGUAGAUAUCGAGAGGAACACCGGUGGCGAAGGCGGCCUUCUGGACAGUGACUGACGCUGAGACGCGAAAGCGUGGGGAGCAAACAGG